UCUUUUAGGAUUGGCUGCCCCUCCGCAUCCAUAAUGUAAUUAAAACAAGGGGGGAAAAAUUAUCAUGGAGGCAGAGGUUAAUGCAAGUGUUUAGCAGAUGCCUUACUGUAAAAUCUGCUUUUUAAAAAACCCCAAAACCAACAACCAAAAAACCAGCAAACUCAUUAAAACUUAAAUAUCGGAUAAUCUCAAACCAGCUUGCUGUCUGCGCCUACGCACCUCGACCAGUAUUCAGACGACUCCUGAAAUCAGUGUCAUGCUUCUUUAACUGGUCUGAUAGGAAAGUAACAGAAGAAGACGGGAAAUGGAGAACUGAGUGUCAUGCACCUCCUCAGACCUGCAGGGAGACCGAGCAGUGGCCAAAAAGUUGGGUGUAAAUGCGACAACAAAAAUAAAUAAUUUACAUCACCCUGCAGAACGUA